rnacentral:rRNA from 1 species
CCUACGGGAGGCUGCAGUGAGGAAUAUUGGUCAAUGGGCGAGAGCCUGAACCAGCCAAGUCGCGUGAGGGAGUACUGCCCUAUGGGUUGUAAACCUCUUUUGUCGGGGAGCAAAAGCCGGACGUGUCCGGCUGUUAGGGUACCCGAAGAAAAAGCAUCGGCUAACUCCGUGCCAGCAGCCGCGGUAAUACGGAGGAUGCGAGCGUUAUCCGGAUUUAUUGGGUUUAAUGGGUGCGCAGGCGGAUUUUUAAGUCAGCGGUCAAAUCGUGGGGCUCAACCCCAUCCAGCCGUUGAAACUGGGGAUCUAGAGUGUGCGAGAGGUAUGCGGAAUGCGUGGUGUAGCGGUGAAAUGCAUAGAUAUCACGCAGAACCCCGAUUGCGAAGGCAGCAUACCGGUGCACAACUGACGCUCAGGCACGAAAGCGUGGGUAUCGAACAGGAUUAGAUACCCUAGUAGUC